UUCUAUGGCAGCUGUGCGGGGCACUCACGUGCGCCGGGUUUUGGUUGACCUACCGGUCUGUCAACCCAGGUACAGCUGCCACCCUC
rnacentral:antisense_RNA from 2 species